rnacentral:precursor_RNA from 1 species
GUUGGUUCUAAAUCAUGAUCUGUGUAGCGGAGAGGGCGUGUGCGGGUUGUCGGGCGCGUCUCUUUCAUGCCACCCAAUCUCGCUGGGGGUUAGACUAGAGUAUUUGGUGCGUCGCCUUGCAUCCAUUUGGCGGUUCUCCACUAAUGGCUGUUGGGGCGGGCAUUGACUUGGGCAAGUCGCACUCCUGUCGUUUGGGUUAAAUUAUUGGUGUGCGAUCGGGGGUCGCCUUCUUAUUGGUAGUUGAAAGGGACUCGAUUUCAGCGGCGACGGUUGAUAGCAUAAAAUUUGGUCGUUGGACGGAUCUGGCCGGUCGCGUUUGGAAUGGAGCCUUUUCCCUGCCACCUGUGGGGCGGUUCCACGAGAGCGCCCGUGGCAGCCUGUGGGUCGUUGCCUUCUCUGCUAGGGUACUCAAGGUCGCUGCAACCAUCUGCCGCGUUGAUACGGAGGUUGUGAACGUUUGAAGCUAUCGCGCCUCAAACGGGUGCAUUUGUACGAGUCGCCCUCACGACUCCAGCUUUUUGAUGCUGCGGAGCGGGGACACUAUUCUCUAUGAUUUCUCCCCACGAGGCAUCGCCUGUUUACUUGGGGGGUAUCAAGUGAGGUUGUGUGUCAUAACAAUCAACACUUCGGUGCGAGUAGUACCAGGAAAAUAUAAGUGCUGUGCUCCUUCGGCACCGUGAGAAA